rnacentral:piRNA from 1 species
UNGCCAUAUAGGGCCUCAUCGCCUCCAUAA